rnacentral:rRNA from 1 species
GAUGAACGCUGGCGGCGUGCCUAAUACAUGCAAGUCGAGCGGAGCGGGGACGGGUGAGGAACACGUGGCUAACCUCCUAUAAGACUGGGGUAACUUCGGGAAACCGGAGCUAAACCGGAUCCUUGUAGGUAGAUCCGAGCUGCAUUAGCUAGUUGGUAAGGUAACGGCGUACCAAGGCAACGAUGCAUAGCCGACCUGAGAGGGUGAUCGGCCACACUGGAACUGAGACACGGUCCAGACUCCUACGGGAGGCAGCAGUAGGGAAUCUUGCGCAAUGGGCGAAAGCCUGACGGAGCAACGCCGCGUGAGUGAUGAAGGUCUUCGGAUCGUAAAACUCUGUUAUUAGGGAAGCGGUACCUAAUCAGAAAGCACCGGCUAACUACGUGCCAGCAGCCGCGGUAAUUC